rnacentral:lncRNA from 1 species
CCACACAUCAAAAAUUUCAACCACCAAGAUUGGGUUAAGAGGCAUCAUGUUUCUCUUGGUGAUUCAUCCCGUUUGUUAACAUCAAGCACAACUUCUACAGUACUCAUAUGCAUCCUAAAUAAAUUGGGCCAAUAAAAUUCAUAUUGGAGGACUUUAGCAGCUAUUUUCUUGGAUAUAAAGUGACCACCACAUGCUUGGUCAUGAUAGAAAGAUAAAAUACUUUUAACCUCAUUAUUCGAGACACACCUUCUAAUGAUUUGAUCAGGAUACUGCUUAAAGAGGUAUAGAUCAUCCCAAAUGAAAUAUUUCACUUGAAUAAAGAAUU